UGGGGAAUAUUGCACAAUGGGCGAAAGCCUGAUGCAGCGACGCCGCGUGAGGGAUGGAGGCCUUCGGGUUGUAAACCUCUUUCAGUAAGAGUGAAGGCUCUCUUUUGUGGAGGGUUGACAGUACUUGCAGAAGAAGCGCCGGCUAACUACGUGCCAGCAGCCGCGGUAAUACGUAGGGCGCGAGCGUUGUCCGGAAUUAUUGGGCGUAAAGGGCUUGUAGGUGGCGUGUCGCGUCUGCUGUGAAAUUCCAGGGCUUAACUUUGGGAUUGCAGUGGGUACGGGCAUGCUAGAGUGCAGUAGGGGAGAUUGGAAUUCCUGGUGUAGCGGUGAAAUGCGCAGAUAUCAGGAGGAACACCGGUGGCGAAGGCGGGUCUCUGGGCUGUUACUGACGCUGAGGAGCGAAAGCGUGGGGAGCGAACAGG
rnacentral:rRNA from 1 species